rnacentral:lncRNA from 7 species
AUGGGGGAUAGGAUUCCCGCGAUGCAGCAGAGCGGCACCGCUUGGAAACACGCGGCACCUCCCGCAAAGCCCCAACUGAGCGCCCCGAAGCCCACCUCGCUCCGGGUGCGUCCCAAAGCUCCGGAGGCGCCGGGAGGGGCCGCGCGGCUCUGCCCCGGAGCGCCGGCGAUGCCGCGCGGCCACCGGCGGAGCCCACGCUCGGAGCGCGGAGCGGACGGGGGGUGCCGGGGGAGGACGGGGGGAGGGGGGGGGGCGUGGGAAAUCCGCUUGGCGGCCCCGGAGGAGGCGCUCCCGGGGCCGGGGGGGGGCACGGCAGCGCUUCCAACUUUCCGCCGCGCCGAGAGACCCCGGCAGCCGCGCCGGCGGUGGUAUCGUAUGCAAAUACGCAGGCUGACGUCAGAGAUCAUGUGUCUGAAGUUCUGCUCACCUUCAACAGUAGUGCUGAAUUCCCAGGAUGUAAGAAAUACAGUGCAGUGUCAUGCAGCUGAUGUGAGCUGAUGGUCACAGCUGGGGCUGAAAUCCUUUAUUAAAGAAAACAAGAGUCAAGCAAACAAGGAAGGUUGGAACCGUUCACAAGAUCUUUCCAGUUUAUUGCUCAGCCUGUCAAAGAAGUUACCUUCUGGGAGUGCACC